UGGGAACACAUCAGAAGAAAUUUAACCUAGACCACAUACGUGUCAGAAAAGACCUUCCCAACAAAGACCCAUCUAAUGUGAGAUGUUAAGGAAAGAUGGGCAAGGACAUUCUAGCAUAUAUUUACUAUGUGUCUUUCUACAUGCUUGGAGUUGCGAAUAGAGAAGAAUUUUGGACAAAUAACGUAGAAACAGCAUGAGGAAGGGUAGGACAGUGGAAUCUGAAGAAAGCUGAAGAAUCUGAAGUAAUGCUGAAGAGACCUGAUUGGUUGGAAGUUCAGCUUAGGAGGUGGAAAAUAGGGACAGGGUAUAGA
rnacentral:lncRNA from 1 species